rnacentral:lncRNA from 1 species
GUACCUCUAGAGUGAUUAGCCACGUACGAGGCCACCAAAUUCGCAACCCCUAUAGCUUCUCUAUAAACGUGCCUAGCUUGGAACUCAACAUUAUCUCUCACCAUGAUCCAAAUGUCCUGGAAUAGAGGAUGACGCCCAUCCGCGCCAUUAGAUCUCUCUAAAUCUAGCCGAUCAUCGUGUGAGUCGCCCUCUAGUACGACCGCUCUGGCCCGCAGCACACGCCGUGUAUACUCCAGACUAGCCUACGCCGCUCUCAACUCUAUACUUUCAUAUGUGUGGAGU